ACCUGGCUGGCUCUGUCAGUAGAGCAUGUGACUCUUGAUCUUAGGGUCGUGAGUUCAAGCCCCACGUUGGGCA
rnacentral:tRNA from 1 species